CUUUGUUCUGCAGACUUGCCCGUGCUUUUCCCAUAACUUGUUUGUCUUGGACUGCGCUUUUCUGUUAUCCUGAAUGAACCCAUCGUUUGCUGAAGUAACGUUUUUGAAAGAAUUCACCUAGAUGAUUCUUGUUGGACUCUUCGGAUUGAGAAGUGGGAGAGGGGCAGAGGGAGAGGAAGAGAGAGAAUCCCAAGCAGGCUCCACGCCCAGUG